rnacentral:rRNA from 1 species
GACGAACGCUGGCGGCGUGCUUAACACAUGCAAGUCGAACGGAAAGGCCCUGCUUUUGUGGGGUGCUCGAGUGGCGAACGGGUGAGUAACACGUGAGUAACCUGCCCUUGACUUUGGGAUAACUUCAGGAAACUGGGGCUAAUACCGGAUAGGAGCUCCUGCUGCAUGGUGGGGGUUGGAAAGUUUCGGCGGUUGGGGAUGGACUCGCGGCUUAUCAGCUUGUUGGUGGUGUAGUGGCUUACCAAGGCUUUGACGGGUAGCCGGCCUGAGAGGGUGACCGGCCACAUUGGGACUGAGAUACGGCCCAGACUCCUACGGGAGGCAGCAGUGGGGAAUAUUGCACAAUGGGCGGAAGCCUGAUGCAGCAACGCCGCGUGCGGGAGGACGGCCUUCGGGUGGUAAACAGCUUUCGCCUGUGACGAAGCGUGAGUGACGGUAAUGGGGAAAGAAGCACCGGCUAACUACGU